CAACAAUGAAAAAGGUGAUGAAAAUCAGGAAAUCACAUGCCUAACUAAGAAGUGUGAUUUUUCACCCUCUUGUUGGAUGCCUGGCAGGAUUGCAAAGAAGAUGAAAAAAAAAAAGAUUAACUAUGUGAUGUAUAUUUGUGCUUUGAAAUUUGUCCCUAGCCUGGAAUCAGAUCUCUGUGUUUACUCAGCCAUAAGUUGGAAUAACAUUACACCUCCAGCUGAUGACUCACAGGAAAUACUGGAUGAUUUUUAAACGGAAAAAUAAGCAUAACAUUCUUUUUCUGAGCAUCCUGAAAGAUAGGGAGAUAAGAGAAAGAGGAUGGAAAAUGCCUUCCCACAGUCACCACUCAAUAAUACUCAUUAAGUUCUGAAGAGAACAGAAAUGCUGAUAGUUUUCUCUGGUCUGUACACGGGGAAGUGUGAAAGGAUGCUGUUACAUUGUAAGUGCAUUUGUUGGGAGGUUUUCUUCCCAGCUGUAACUCCAGGAUGUAUGUACAUGUGUGAAUAUGUGCAUGUAUGUGAGUGUGUAUGUGUAAAGGGGAAAGGUAUAGUCAGAACUCGGAAAAUGAAACAUGAAUAUUUAUAACUAGGCUUCUUAUGUAUUUCUCUUUUAUAUCUUUGUGUUCAAGGACAAAGAGAAGAGGAGUGGAUGGAGGACCAGCUACUGACUCAUCAGUCUG
rnacentral:lncRNA from 1 species